UACGUAGGGACCAAGCGUUGUUCGGAUUUACUGGGCGUAAAGGGCGCGUAGGCGGCAAUUCAAGUCAUCUGUGAAAUCUCCGGGCUUAACUCGGAACGGUCAGGUGAUACUGCUUUGCUAGAGUGCAGAAGGGGCAAUCGGAAUUCUUGGUGUAGCGGUGAAAUGCGUAGAUAUCAAGAGGAACACCUGAGGUGAAGACGGGUUGCUGGGCUGACACUGACGCUGAUGCGCGAAAGCUAGGGGAGCAAACGGG
rnacentral:rRNA from 1 species